ensembl:lncRNA
CCCAAAAGUGUUAAAAGAUUUUAAAAGCACCUCCUCCCAAAACUAGGCGUUUUCCCCUGAAGUUUAGAGCACCGUUUCACAUCAAGGCGCCUGAUUUCAAACGGGCCAAUCAGCGCACUGCAUCAGGCUCCACCACAGACAACGUCUGUACAGCUCACCACAAGUUUUGCUUUGGAGUACGGCAGCACGCUAUCUUCAUUUUCGUGGACUUGUUUCUCAUUUUUUUAAUUUAACGUCUGCCACAGCUCGUCUUCAGUUACUACGAGCAGCGGCGUAAAAGACGUCCUCGCCGUACCUGGGUCCAUCAGGUCCUCCAGAGCCGUGAGCAGUUUGGUGAGUUUCACCACUUGCUCCAGGAGUUGCGCCUGGAUGACCGCCGAUUUCAGUGAUACCACCAUCUUUCACUCGCCCAGUUUGAGGACCUGCUGUCCCGCGGUGGUCCAAGCAUCGCCCACCUAGACACCAACUACAGGCGCUCAAUCCCACCUGCAGAGCGCCUGUCCAUCAGCCUGAGGGUUCCUUGCCACCGGGGACUCCUUCAGGACCAUCGUGUUCAGUUUUAGAGUCGGUGUGUCCACGGUGUGCCAGAUCCACCCCCCAGGUAGCGACGGCCAUCUGGGACUGUCUAGUGGACGACUUCAUGGCUGUGCCUUCACCUGGAGACUGGCGGUCCAUCACAGAGGGAUUCCAGGAGCGCUGGAACUUCCCUCUCUGCUGUGGAGCUCUGGAUGGGAAGCACGUCCAGACAAAGGCACCCCAUAUAUCAUAUAGGAGACACACACAUUGAUAUACACUAAAUAUUAUUCCAUUUCUGUUUUUGUGGUGCCCAAAUUUAUGCACCUGCUUGAUUUUGUUUAAACAAUUAUUGCACACUUUUUGUAAAUCCAGUAAACUUCUUUUCACUUCUCAAAUAUCACUGUGUGUGUCUCCU